AGCACGGCUUCGGGGUUUGGCAAGUCCCGCCGACCAAAACCCACGAAGCCGAGUGCUGAGACCAAAACCUUCCUUUGCAACCCACAGCCGAUUCGUAUCGGUUGUGUUACUUACAGGAAGGGACAUC